rnacentral:ncRNA from 2 species
GGGGCCACCUCGGGGUGCCCUGGAUGAUCCAUGGCUGAGAUGCGCAUACGCGGACCCGUAGAACCUGAACCGGUUAAGACCGGCGGAGGGAAGGUCGGUCAUCCAUCC